rnacentral:tRNA from 1 species
CGAGACGAAGCUAAAUUAGAAAAGCACCUCUCUUACACUGAGGAGUUACCCGUGCAAAUCAGGUCGUCUCGA